UGUUGUUGUUAUCUCUGCGUAGUACUUUUUUUUUUUUGUUGUUGUCAUGCUUUCUCCAAUAGUUUACUAGUUUUUAGUCAAUGGCUAGGGGAGUGCGUGGCGACGUUGGUGGUUUGGCAACCUUUUAACUCACAAUGUCCUGAUCUAGUGUAUGUCACAGACACCUCUCUAGUCUCCAACCAACUCACAAAAUCUCUUAAAACAGACUAUAAGGUUUCGUUUUUUUUUUUUUUUAGGGAAAUGAUAUCCAUUAAUGAGAUAGAUCUAUUAUCGAUCAAAUCGAUAUAUAGAUAGAUCAAUUAUCGAUUUGACAAAUCGAUUAUCAAUCCGACAAAUCGAUUAUCAAUCUGACCUAUAUAUGAACGGAUUGAUUAUUAAUCCGAAAGAUCGAUUAUCGAUCCAAUUUAUAUAUGGACAAAUCAUUAUCAAUCCGACAGAUCGAUUAUCGAUCCAACCUAUAUAUGAACAAAUUGAUUAUCGAUUCGAUCUAUAAAUGAAAAAAUAGGAGUAGAUUAUUUUAUUAAUUGAAAAAUUGAAGAGGAUUAAUAGUAAAAUUUUGGACAUGUAAUAACAGAAACUCUAGAAAAUCCCAAAAUUCAUUACCCCGAUUUCCAACAUAGAGACCCAAAAACCUUUGUGGAAAAUUUCUGAAAGCUCAAAUGCGGCUGCGACGGCGCCGCCGUAAGCACUCUCCUAAGGUGAUUCCUCCACCGUCCGUCGGCGCCGAAGUUCAGCGCCGCCGUAGAGUUCGGAAAACCCUAGACGAUGAUCGGAUCAGUCAGUUACCGGAUUCACUGCUCAUACAAAUUCUCUCUCUUUUGCCAACAGUUGAAGCAUCCCGAACUUCAAUUCUCUCUAAAAGGUGGAAGUAUCUUUGGACUUUUGCUUACAAUUUCGAUUUUGAAUUCCGCUCAGGUAGAGUAAAAGAUUUCGAAUCUUUUAUUGAUUAUGUAUUAGCUCAUUCCGUUGCUUCCAAAAUCGAAAAGCUUAGACUCUCUGGUGAAUUUCGUUACGGCGAGUCUAAUAUCAAUGGAUGGCUUAGUUUUGCGGUUGAAAGAAAUGUUGAACAUGUUGUAUUGCGGUCAUACGAUGAGCGGAUACUAUUCGGAAAUCUUGAAGAUUUCGAGUUAAGGCUUUUAGAUGUGUCGUCUUUGGUCGAUGCUAGUCUUACAUUCAGACAUAGGUGUGCUAAUUGGACCUGUUGUGAUUCUGGUGAUGAUGAGGAAGAGAGUCGUUGGAAUUAUCACCAAAUAUUUAUUAUUACGCUCGUUCAAGAGAAUUUUCAAAAGUUGAGUUGCGUAACUGAGCUGAACUCGGAGCUUGGUUUACUAAGGUUUGUAUUUAACUCUCUCUAAUUGAUUUUUGAGAUGAAGGGGGAGUCGUGGAGUAACUGGUAUAGUUGCUGCCAUGUGACCACGAGGUCACUGGUUCAAGCCUUGGAAAUAGCCUCUUGCAGAAAUGCAAGGUAAGGCUGCGUACAAUACACCCUUGUGGUGGGGCCCUUCCCUGGACACCGCGCAUAGCGAUAGCUUUAGUGCGCCGCACUGCCCCUUCAGAAACAAUCUCUCUAAUUCACAUCUGAGGCAGGGGCGGAUCUAGGGCCUCAGAGGGGGUUCCGGAACCCAGUAACUUUCGUACGGAUCUAGUAUUUAUAUAAAGAAAUCUGGUAAAUAUAUAAAAAUUAUAAGUUAGGAACCCAUAAACAAAUUGUAUUGUUGGUCUAGUGGAGCACAGGAACUAGUAAAAGUUUUACCACAACCUCUUGGUUGUGGGAUCAAAUCCCUUUAGCUACUAUUUAGUUUUAUUUUUGUCUAACAUGGGAACCCACAAACUUUAUAUCCUGGAUCCGCCUAUGAUCUGAGGUAGUGGUAUGGACUGCUUACACUUACCCUCCCAUUUGUGGGAAUAUUGGGUAUGUUGUUGCUGUAUAUUUUAUAAGUCAUCAAUCUUAGCUUCUAAUAUUUUGCCAACUCUUACCCCUUAAUAUAUUCAACUUUAAUUUAUCGGAGCAUCACAUCAGGGUAUACCGAUUUUAGUUGAUGAACCAACAAAGUUUGCUUAGCUGCUAUAAUUUCAUGUUGCAGGCCCUGUGCAUGAUGCAGCUCAAAGGGCUGUCUAUUCCAGAACUUAAAUGCAAAUGUCUAACGUUAGAGUUGGAUGACUAUUUUAAUUUGUUUGGAGCAACUGGUAUUUUGCGAGCCUUGCAUCAUGUGGAAACGCUCAACAUAGACAUUUUUAAUCCUUUUGGUAGGUCCUGGUGCGACUUUGAGUUAGAAUGUUCGGCCGAAGGAGAUAAUAUUGACUUGCAGAGUUGUAUUUCAAGCUUUGAGUUGCCCAACCUCAAGAAUGUUAAGAUUGUCCAAUCCUCUGCGUUGUGUUUGAGAUGCGAUUCAGCCACAAGAAGAACUUUCAACAAGGGCUUUGACACGCGUUUCGAACUUUUAGAACUUGUGUUAAAGAAUGCAACAAUUUUGGAGAAGCUUGUGAUGCCAGCCAUGAUAAAGUGCAGGAUAUGUUCAAACUUCUUCAUGUCCGAAUUUGUAUCUCGAAUGCCUAAGAUAGUAUUAGGUUGCCACUUGCCUAUGAGCCUCCUCGAAUGGUAUGAUUAUUCCAGAUUCCUGGACUAGACCGCAACUAGUUUUGUGUCCCGGGUUAUGAGAGAUGUCCCUUUUAUGCUGAGUUUUUGAUAAAUCUCUCAUGCAAUCUAUGAACCUCUAACUUCCUAUAUGUAAUUAUCACUAAAUUUUUGUGGUGUACCAACUGUUAUGGUAUCUUGGUUUCUCAAGUAAGUGGCAUUUUAUGUUUCAUUUUAGAUGUUGUACGUAUUCAUUGAGCCAAAUGAUAUGUUUUAUUUUGUUACUUUAAUUUGCCAGUAGCAUCAAGGUCUA